rnacentral:rRNA from 1 species
CCCUUAGAUGUUCUGGGCCGCACGCGCGCUGCACUGAUGAAUUCAACGAGCACUAACCUGUGCCGAAAGGUUCGGGUAAUCUUGUGAAAUUUCAUCGUGAUGGGGAUUGAUUAUUGCAAUUUUUAAUCAUAAACGAGGAAUGCCUAGUAAGCGUGAGUCAUCAGCUCACGUUGAUUACGUCCCUGCUCUUUGUACACACCGCCCGUCGCUCCUACCGAUUGAAUGUGCCAGUGAAAAGUUAGGAUUGGGCGUGGGAGACGGCAACGUAUUCCACAUCCGAGAAAAUCUUUAAACUUUCCCAUUUAGAGGAAGGAGAAGUCGUAACA